UACGUAGGGACCAAGCGUUGUCCGGAUUUAUUGGGCGUAAAGAGCGUGUAGGCGGCCAGGUAGGUCUGCUGUGAAAACUCGAGGCUCAACCUCGAGACGUCGGCGGAAACCAUCUGGCUAGAGUCCGGAAGAGGAGAGUGGAAUUCCUGGUGUAGCGGUGAAAUGCGCAGAUAUCAGGAAGAACACCCGUGGCGAAGGCGGCCCUCUGGGACGGUACUGACGCUGAGACGCGAAAGCGUGGGGAGCGAACAGG
rnacentral:rRNA from 1 species